rnacentral:lncRNA from 1 species
GGAACCAAGAACCACAACAUUCUUUUCCUUUCUGAGGUCGUAGCCGCUGUGAGUCUUAGCUUCUCUCUGCAUCUGUGAGGUCAUCUCCCUUUCUGUAGAGCAUAUGAUCUUUACUGAUGCACCUGCAUCUGGCUCAGACUUAGUCACCCAGCCCUGAAAUUAUAUCAUAUCACAGGUCAUUCUCUGAGUCUCUUAAUGUGAGGCCUUGAGAGAAAAAUCAACAUGCCUUCUGUUGGAUGAAGACCAAUCAGCAAGAUGGUGGUGAUUGUGGUACAGGUCUGUAACAAUGCAAAAGUCAGAACUGGUUGAAAUGUAAAAUUCAGUCCCCUUUUUAUAGAGUCGUUGCAAGGAUCAAGUGAGUUGAAAUCCGUAAGGUGCUUGGGAGAAUGCCUGGCGCCUGGAAGCACUGUUGCUGCAGUAAUUCUGCUGACGUCAUCCCCAUACUUGCCAUCCUCUUGCAGGGUUGUAGGUUCUAAGGCUGGCCUCCACGGGGUGGUUCCACCCUCUUCUCUUGCUGUGUCUUUAAUGAGAUGUAUCAGAUAUUCCAAAAAAGGAGAUAUAAACAUGACCAUAAAAGACAUGAAAAGAUGUUUAACCCCAUUAGUCAUCGUGGAAAUGCAAAUGAAAACCACCAUACAGACACUAGAGUGGUUUAAAUUUGAAUGACUUCCAACACCAAAUGCCAGACAGGACAUAGAGCAACUGGAUGUCUCAUGCUCACAGGCAGAAGGGAAAACUACUGUGUGUGACAGGAAGAUGGACUUACCCAACCUUCAGCAUUCUCAAUCUCUUGUCUAUUAACAUGUGUUUGAAACAUUAUGCAUUCAAAGCAAACAUCUGGGAGGAAGAUGGGAGAAGCCUUCUUGCCCCUGUUCUACAGAAGUAAUUGAAGUUCAUGACAUUCAAGCUCAUUCACCAGUAAAUGAAUUUGGGUCAUGCUUUAUGUCUGUUGUAAAUACAGUGAAAAUUUGCCUCUGUUCCUGAA